rnacentral:rRNA from 1 species
UACAGAGACCUCAAGCGUUAUCCGGAAUCAUUGGGCGUAAAGCGUACCGAUAGGUGGUUUAGAAAGUCAGAAGUGAAAUCUCAAAGCUCAACUUUGAGACUGUCUUUUGAAACUUCUAAACUAGAGGGGCAAAGAGGAAGCUGGAACGAACGGUGUAGUAGUGAAAUGCGUUGAUAUCGUUCGGAACACCAAUAGCGUAGGCAGGCUUCUGGGUGCCACCUGACGACUGCUAGGACGAAAGCGUGGGGAGCGAACAGG